rnacentral:rRNA from 1 species
GACGAACGCUGGCGGCGUGCUUAACACAUGCAAGUCGAACGAAGAGCGACGGAAGCUUGCUUCUAUCAAUCUUAGUGGCGAACGGGUGAGUAACGCGUAAUCAACCUGCCCUUCAGAGGGGGACAACAGUUGGAAACGACUGCUAAUACCGCAUACGAUCUAACCUCGGCAUCGAGGAUGGAUGAAAGGUGGCCUCUAUUUAUAAGCUAUCACUGAAGGAGGGGAUUGCGUCUGAUUAGCUAGUUGGAGGGGUAACGGCCCACCAAGGCGAUGAUCAGUAGCCGGUCUGAGAGGAUGAACGGCCACAUUGGGACUGAGACACGGCCCAGACUCCUACGGGAGGCAGCAGUGGGGAAUCUUCCGCAAUGGACGAAAGUCUGACGGAGCAACGCCGCGUGAGUGAUGACGGCCUUCGGGUUGUAAAGCUCUGUUAAUCGGGACGAAAGGCCUUCUUGCGAAUAGUUAGAAGGAUUGACGGUACCGGAAUAG